GUCUACGGCCAGGCCACCCUGAACAAGCCUGAUCCUGUCUGAUCUCGGAAGCUGAGCAGGGGCGGCCCUGGUUAGGACUUGGAUGGGAGACUACCUAGGAAGACCAGGUGCUGUAGGCU
ensembl:rRNA 5S_rRNA 5S ribosomal RNA